GCCCGCGUAGCUCAAUGGUCAGAGCGUUGGACUUUUACGACCGCGCGAGGAAGUAACGGGCAUCCAAAGGCUGCGAGUUCGAGUCUCGCCGUGGGCG